rnacentral:rRNA from 1 species
UGAGUACGAGAUGCUACGGCAUCGAAGCAGUCUAUGUCAUACUUCCAAGAAAAGCUUGCACUGUCAUAAACAAAGAAUGCCUGUACCAUAACCGACACAGGUGGGUAGGUAGAGUAUACUAAGGGGCGCGAGAUAACUCUCUCUAAGGAACUCGGCAAAAUGACUCCGUAACUUCGGGAGAAGGAGUGCCUUAUUUCUAAGGUUGCAAUAACAAGAUCCAAGCAACUGUUUACCAAAAACACAGGUCUCCGCUAAGUCGUAAGACGAUGUAUGGGGGCUGACGCCUGCCCAGUGCCAGAAGGUUAAAGAAGUUGGUUAGCAUUAGCGAAGCUGAUAACUGAAGCCCUGGUGAACGGCGGCCGUAACUAUAACGGUCCUAAGGUAGCGAAAUUCCUUGUCGGGUAAGUUCCGACCCGCACGAAAGGCGUAAUGAUUUGGAUACUGUCUCGGAGAGGGGCUCGGUGAAAUAGACUUGUCUGUGAAGAUGCGGGCUACCUGCACCUGGACAGAAAGACCCUAUGAAGCUUUACUGUAACUUGAGAUUGAAAUUGGACUUUAUUUGCGCAGUAUAGGUGGGAGGCGUUGAGAAUAAUCUUGCGGGAUUGUUGGAGCCAUCAGUGAGAUACCACUCUUGUAAUGUUAGAUUUCUAACUUUGUAUCAUUAUCUGGUCAAAGAACAGUUUCAGGCGGGCAGUUUGACUGGGGCGGUCGCCUCCCAAAGGGUAACGGAGGCGCACAAAGGUUUCCUCUGAACGGGUAGAAAUCGUAUCUAGAGUGUAAAGGCAUAAGGAAGCUUGACUGUGAGACCUACAAGUCGAGCAGGGACGAAAGUCGGUCUUAGUGAUCUGACGGUGCUGAGUGGAAAGGCCGUCACUCAACGGAUAAAAGUUACUCUAAGGAUAACAGGCUGAUCUCCCCCAAGAGUUCACAUCGACGGGGAGGUUUGGCACCUCGAUGUCGGCUCAUCGCAUCCUGGGGCGGUAGUCCGUCCCAAGGGUUGGGCUGUUCGCCCAUGAAAGCGGUACGCGAGCUGGGUUCAGAACGUCGUGAGACAGUUCGGUCCAUAUCCGGUGUAGGCGUUAGAAUAUUGAGAGGAGCCUUCUCUAGUACGAGAGGACCGAGAAGGACAUACCUCUGGUGUACCAGUUAUCGUGCCAACGGUAAACGCUGGGUAGCUAUGUAUGGAGUGGAUAACCGCUGAAAGCAUCUAAGUGGGAAGCCCACCUCAAGAUAAG